AUUGAACGCUGGCGGAAUGCCUUACACAUGCAAGUCGAGCGGCAGCACGGGGGCAACCCUGGUGGCGAGCGGCGAACGGGUGAGUAAUACAUCGGAACAUGCCCAGUCGUGGGGGAUAACACUUCGAAAGAAGUGCUAAUACCGCAUACGUCCUGAGGGGGAAAGCGGGGGAUCGCAAGACCUCGCGCGAUUGGAGUGGCCGAUGUCAGAUUAGCUAGUUGGUGGGGUAAAGGCCUACCAAGGCAACGAUCUGUAGCUGGUCUGAGAGGAUGAUCAGCCACACUGGGACUGAGACACGGCCCAGACUCCUACGGGAGGCAGCAGUGGGGAAUUUUGGACAAUGGGGGCAACCCUGAUCCAGCCAUUCCGCGUGAGUGAAGAAGGCCUUCGGGUUGUAAAGCUCUUUCGGCAGGAACGAAACGGUGAGCUCUAACAUAGCUUGCUAAUGACGGUACCUGAAGAAGAAGCACCGGCUAACUACGUG
rnacentral:rRNA from 1 species